CGUUUUGCGAGGAGGCGGAUUUCUCCAGCUGCAGAUCGUUGGUCCUCAGGGUUUCCGUAAGCCAGCCUCCACAUAAGAUCUUCGAUCUUGUUUGCUUCUGCUGGGGAGGAAAAGGAUGAUACUUUCCUGGGCCUUAAACUGCUCGGAGGUUUUGGAGGCUCGAUAUCAUUGGCCUCGCACCACUGAGCUAUCAGACUUCGGAGAACAUAGUUGGGUGUGAGGGUUGUGCUUGUUAGCGCCUGCUGUGUUUUUGGACAUGUCGAAUGCCCAGCUUCUAUCCACUUGUCAAUGCAGGUGCGUUCGUAGGUCUAUUACACACAGAGGAGAACAUGCUUCAAUAAUUAAAUCUGAAAAGAUUAUAGAACCUAAAGAAAUUUGAAGAAACUGCAACUUUACCUGCCCUGUUGAAACGAUAACUGGAUCUCUCAUCAUUUCCAGAGAUAUUGGACAGCGGAAAUCAUCAGGAAUCACCGGUAUCUUGUGACUCGCAGCCGUAGAAGUUUGCCCAUUGCUACUCGAGUUUACCCCAGCACUCUGGUCCUCGCUAUUGUCAGUGUCAAUCUGCACAAAAUCCUUAAUCAGCUUAAGUACCAUUGCCAUCUCCUCAAUGCUUUCACCACCGCUCGAAGCAACCAUUUCGUGCAGAGCCACUGAUUCUUGAGCUAGGUCAGGAAUCUCCAUCAGAUGUAACUUCCUAGCAACCCGCUGCAGGGUAGGUUGAUAAUCAUCUACGUCACUGCUUUUGAUGCACAGUGACUGAAGAUCUUCAUACAGUUCAUCGUCUGAUGCAUCUACUCUUCCUUUGGCUCGCCGAAACUGGCUGAGAACUAACUCAACCUGCAAAAAAGAAAGAAAAAAAAAACGCCAUCAAAAUGUGCACAUAUCCGCUGAAGAUCCUAUUCUCAGUGAUUGAAGUGGACAGAUGUAGAGCUUUGAUCGCGUAGUUCGUACAGUUAUGGGGUUCUAUCGUUUUUUAUUGGAAUGUUAUGGACAGAAGUCACAAGUAAGCUAUGUGUUUGCUUGGGUUCUGUUUUUGUCUUUGUUUCCUUGGCUUUGUAAGACUAAAGACCGUUUCUUUUAAUACCAGCAAUGAACUUUCAGUGAGAAAAAAAACACAAAUGUUGUGCAUAUGUUCAAGAUAAAAUAGAAUUACGUGUGUAUGCUUAUGUACAGGAAGGUUAUGACCAGGCACGUCCCUUCUAUAAUGCAAAGAAACAUUUGCUUCGGGCCGUAUAAUAUAAGCUUGAGGUUACUGAUCCGAACCCUAUUCUAAUUAAAUUCCCAUUUCUUGUAUUAAAACCAAUAAAGCUGGUGGAAACGAUUACAAACAUUGAAGUGUUACAAUGAUACAAGUUGACGUGUAUGUAUGCAUAUUUGCUGUUCUCUCCUCAGGACCGGAUAGCUCCGUCCUUGCAGAGGUAACACCAUAAAGUUAAAACAUUUCGGACAGACAAGGAGGCCAUUUGCUGCUUUUGCCAUCUACAUUAGAGCCUACCUCGAAGGAAGACCGAGUAGGAGACAAGAAAAGAAAAGUGGGAAUAAUAAAAGACCAUAGGGACCAAAGCAAAAACAACUCUUUUAAGUAUCAGCAGCUUCUGUGGUGGAUGCUGAAUGUGUUGGUUCAGCUUCUUCUGUGUUUUGUGCCUGUGCUGCCGUCUCCUUCUGCUGUUCAGCUAGACGGCUUAUACGUUCAAGCAAUUGAGCUGCUUUUCUUUUCCCUCUAUCUGUCCCGUUUCCGGCUAAAUCAAUCAAUGGACCCAUGAGACCGAGUUUCUGUGCUUCGACCAGAUGUUGUGGGUCAACAGAACAGAGGUGGACUAGAACCGCAGCAGCGUUCUCUCUGUUUCUAGGAGAUCCAGUUCUGAUAAACUCCACUAGACUCGGGACUGCGUCGGAUGAUCCUAUGAUUGCUUUCCCUUCGGGAUGGCUCGAGAGAAUCGCCAGAAUGGCAAGCGCCUCAUCGACCAUUCCGCUUCCGGGCUGUGUUAAGAGUCUCGUCAAUGUGGGAAUCACUCCUGCGCGUAUGGCCUUUCCUUUGUUUCCUUGAUAUAUGCAGAGGUUGAAAAGUGCAGUAGCCGCGUCUUUCUUGCCUCUUUGUGUACCUUCAUUGAGCAGUACAACGAGCGGUGGGAUUGCUCCCAAGGCACCAAUAGUCACUUUGUUCUCGUCAAUCACGGAGAGACUGAAGAGUGUGGCCGCUGCAUUCUCUCUAGCCUCCAUGCUUCCUUUCUUGAGCACUUGAACUAUACCAGGGAUAGCUCCAGCAGAGACAAUGGCCCCUUUGUUGUUCUCACAUAUGGAGAGGUUUAGAAGAGCUGUUACCGAAUGUUCUUGGAUACGAGAAUCAGGAGUUGCGAGGAGGCCAACGAGAAGAGGUAUGGCUCCAGCUUCAGCUAUGGCCACACGGUUGUCUGCAUUUCGUUUUGCAAGGAGGCGGAUUUCUCCAGCUGCAGAUCGUUGGUCCUCAGGGUUUCCGUAAGCCAGCCUCCACAUAAGAUCUUCGAUCUUGUUUGCUUCUGCUGGGGAGGAAAAGGAUGAUACUUUCCUGGGCCUUAAACUGCUCGGAGGUUUUGGAGGCUCGAUAUCAUUGGCCUCGCACCACUGAGCUAUCAGACUUCGGAGAACAUAGUUGGGUGUGAGGGUUGUGCUUGUUAGCGCCUGCUGUGUUUUUGGACAUGUCGAAUGCCCAGCUUCUAUCCACUUCUCGAUGCAGGUGCGUUCGUAGGUCUAUUAUACACAGAGGAGAACAUGCUUCAAUAAUUACAGAACCUAAAGAA
rnacentral:lncRNA from 1 species